GGAGAGGUGCCGGAGUGGCCGAACGGGGCUGCCUGCUAAGCAGUUGUACCGAAAGGUACCCUGGGUUCGAAUCCCAGCCUCUCCG
rnacentral:tRNA from 1 species